AGAGAAGAAAGUAGUAGCUAUUGUUUCUAUGGGCAUAAUUAUGUAUUUUGCAGAAUGUGUAGAAUGAUGGAUCAUCGUAGAUUUCCUUUUGUUUUUAUUUCUGAUAUAAAAGAUUAACAGUUUAAUAAGGUUGUGAAUAAGAAUUAUGUUAUAAUAAUUUAAAACAUUCAGUUCAGUUCCUCAGUAAAACUAUAUCGUUCAGAAAGAAACUGAAAUUACAGACUAUUCAUGAUGACAACUUCACAUAAAUUUCCUCUACCACUUCAUGUUCACCAUCAAAACAAUUUUAUUUCCCCUGUAUUAUAUUUUAUCAUGAAAAUACAGCAAUAUAAACGAAUUUUUAUAUGUAUUGGUGGUGCUAUCCUGCUACCUAUUAUUAUUCCUUAUAUUCACUUGGGAAUAGUAUAUCAAUUAUGGGAUAAAUAUACAAUGAAAGUAAAUAGAGAAACAUGUUCUUGUUCUUGUUGGGAUACAGCAUUUAAAGGUAAGUGUUAAUUUUUAAAAACUAUAAUGAAUUUAUAUUUCAUAAUUAUGAUUCUCAUAAACUAUUAUUUUGUUUAUUUCGAUUAUGCAGAGAUGAUAUUGGAAUUCUUCAGUUUAAAAAGAGAUUUUUUUUUAUUCUUAUAUACAACUAAUAAUUAGUGAACUUGACAAAA